AACGAACGCUGGCGGCAUGCCUAACACAUGCAAGUCGAACGAGACCUUCGGGCCUAGUGGCGCACGGGUGCGUAACGCGUGGGAACCUGCCCUUAGGUUCGGAAUAACUCCCCGAAAGGGGUGCUAAUACCGGAUAAUGUCUUCGGACCAAAGAUCUAUCGCCUUUGGAUGGGCCCGCGUUGGAUUAGCCAGUUGGUAGGGUAAAAGCCUACCAAGGCGACGAUCCAUAGCUGGUCUGAGAGGAUGAUCAGCCACGCUGGGACUGAGACACGGACCAGACUCCUACGGGAGGCAGCAGUGGGGAAUAUUGGACAAUGGGCGAAAGCCUGAUCCAGCAAUGCCGCGUGAGUGAUGAAGGCCUUAGGGUUGUAAAGCUCUUUUACCCGGGAUGAUAAUGACAGUACCGGGAGAAUAAGCUCCGGCUAACUCCGUG
rnacentral:rRNA from 1 species